rnacentral:rRNA from 1 species
GCCGCGUGAGGGAUGACGGCCUUCGGGUUGUAAACCUCUUUCAGCAGGGACGAAGCGCAAGUGACGGUACCUGCAGAAGAAGCACCGGCUAACUACGUGCCAGCAGCCGCGGUAAUACGUAGGGUGCAAGCGUUGUCCGGAAUUACUGGGCGUAAAGAGUUCGGAGGCGGUUUGUCGCGUCGUUUGUGAAAACCAGCAGCUCAACUGCUGGCUUGCAGGCGAUACGGGCAGACUUGAGUACUGCAGGGGAGACUGGAAUUCCUGGUGUAGCGGUGAAAUGCGCAGAUAUCAGGAGGAACACCGGUGGCGAAGGCGGGUCUCUGGGCAGUAACUGACGCUGAGGAACGAAAGCGUGGGUAGCGAACAGGAUUAGAUACCCAGGUAGUCCACCCCGUAAACGGUGGGCGCUAGGUUGGGUUCCUUCCACGGAAUCCGNGCCGUAGUUAACCCAUUAAGCCCCCNCCUGGGAGUACGGCCGCAAGGCUAAACUCAAAGGAAUUGACNGGGGCCCGCACAAGCGGCGGAGCAUGUGGAUUAAUUCGAUGCAACGCGAAGAACCUUACCUGGGUUUGACAUAUACCGGAAAGCUGCAAAGAUGUGGCCCCCCUUGUGGUCGGUAUACAGGUGGUGCAUGGCUGUCGUCACCUCGUGUCGUGAAAUGUUGGGUUAAGUCCCGCAACGAGCCCAAACCCUAUCUUAUGUUGCCAGCACGUUAUGGUGGGGACUCGUAAGAGACUGCCGGGGUCAACUCGGAGGAAGGUGGGGACGACGUCAAGUCAUCAUGCCCCUUAUGUCCAGGGCUUCACACAUGCUACAAUGGCCAGUACAGAGGGCUGCGAGACCGUGAGGUGGAGCGAAUCCCUUAAAGCUGGUCUCAGUUCGGAUCGGGGUCUGCAACUCGAACCCCGUGAAGUCGGANUCNCUAGUAAUANAAGAUCAGCAACGCUGC